CCUACGGGAGGCAGCAGCAAGGAAUAGUAGGCAAUGGGGGAACCCUGACCUCGCGACGCCGCGUGAGGGAUGAAGGCUUUCGGGUUGUAAACCUCUUUUCUCAGGGAUGAAUAAUGACAGUACCUGCAGAAGAAGCCCCGGCCAACUACGUGCCAGCAGCCGCGGUAAUACGUAGGGGGCGAGCGUUGUCCGGAUUUAUUGGGCGUAAAGAGCUCGUAGGCGGUUCGAUAAGUCGGAUGUGAAAUCUCCACGCUCAACGUGGAGAGGCCAUUCGAUACUGUCGUGACUCGAGUCCGGUAGGGGAGUGUGGAAUUCCCGGUGUAGCGGUGAAAUGCGCAGAGAUCGGGAGGAACACCCGUAGCGAAGGCGGCACUCUGGGCCGGUACUGACGCUGAGGAGCGAAAGCGUGGGGAGCAAACAGGAUUAGAUACCCUGGUAGUCCACGCCGUAAACGUUGGGCACUAGGUGUGGGACUCUAUCGACGGGUUCCGUGCCGUAGCUAACGCAUUAAGUGCCCCGCCUGGGGAGUACGGCCGCAAGGCUAAAACUCAAAGGAAUUGACGG
rnacentral:rRNA from 1 species